CAAAAACAACUGUUGAAUUGCACAAAAAGUAAUUCACACAUUUUUUAUAACAAUCAUCUGUUUAUAAUGCACACAUAUGCAUUUCAGGAAAACCUUCCAAGACAACCAAAAUAGAAAAUACUGAUUUCCAUGAGAAUUAAAACAUUCAAAGAUAUUCAUCUUGCAUAUCAUAUAGCAAGCUAGCUUAAAGCAUAUUGAUAGGCAGCACUUGACAAUGAAAUGUGACCCCAGCCAAACUGAGUAUGGUAGGUAUACCUCUCACCCGGGUACAGGACUCUACCACAACAGGGUCAGUAUUCACAAGGAGUCUUAGUUUAGGAGUGCUCACCUAAGAUCAGUUUUGGCUUCAGAUCACAAUGAAUAUGAUCAUAUGUACAGGGGGGACCUGAUCCUAGACCAGCACUCCUACUCUGAUACACUUUGUGAAUAAAGGCCAUGGUUAGAACAGCUGCAGAAGUAAUAAAACAGGAUAGGAUAGCUUUAUAGCUAGAUCUCUUUGUUCAUAAAUACCUUUAACCUAGCAUAUACAGUACACUUCCCACUGAUAACUAAACAAAUAUCAGACAUGAGAAAGUCAAGUAACCAAGCAACCUGUGACAUGACAAAAAAACAGAGUGCCAUGCUCUUGGAUAUGGUGUAGAGUUCAUGUGGGCUGCUCUUUGGAUCCCAGGAUAAGAGCAUGACAUUAACCUGUGAUCUGACAGUGCUGACUUCUUUACUGUCAGCCAUGCACUUUUUAUUUGAUUUCAUUAUUUUACCCCUUUUUCACCCCAAUUUCAUGGUAUUCAAUUGGUAGUUACAGUCUCGUCCCAUCGCUGCAACUCAAGCGUCCCCUGAAACACAACCCAGCCAAGCCGACACUGCUUCUUGACACAAUGCCCGCUUAACCCAGAAGCACCAAUGUGUCGGAGGAAGCGCCGUACACCUGGAGACUGUGACAGUGUGCACCCGGCUCACCACAGGAGUCGCUAGUGCACGAUGGGACAGGAACAUCCCGGCAUGUCAAACCCUGCCCUAACCCAAACCACGCUGGGCCAAUUGUGCACCGCGUCAUGGGUCCCCCGGUCGCGGACAGGUGCCUGGACUCUAACCAGGUUCUCUAGUGGCACAGCUAGCACCGCGAUGCAGUGCCUUAGACCACUGCACCACUCGGGAGGCCCAGAGCCAUGCACACUUAACAAGUCUGUUUUAGUGAGCAUAAAUAGGUGUGUAAAUAAGUAUCAUUUCUAUAUAAGGAGACCAAAAGGAGACAGACAGACCCACUUUAGAAUAUUGAGAUGCAUCCCAUACAGUAUUUCUUCUCACAGUUCAGUCUCCUUCUCACCGCCAUCACCUGCCAGGUAGUAUUCAUCAUCUGUGGUUGGAGACAUAGCCCCUGGAGGGUAGGCGCCCCCUAGGGGACAGGCUGUCCUGUGAUGCCCUGCUGUCUGUGGGGGAGGGCGAGGCAGAGGAGGAGCUGGGAGGGCGAGAUAUGCGUCUGGAGGCUGGGGACCAGGGAGGGGACGGAGGGGGGGUUGGAGGACCCUCUGUAUCCCACAGGGAGUGAGAGGUCUCCAGGCUGCCAUGGUUCCACAUGCGGCCAGUGGUGGUAGAGGUUGGAGAUGGGGCGGUGACCUCUGAACUCCAGGAUACAUUUCUGGGUAGGGAUUUAGAUCUAGCCUUGUGUGGAUUUAUAAAAUUAGCUUUGAUUGUUUUGCACUCAUUUCUGGAUGUCCUGUCACUAACGACAGACCAGUCAUUUACAGCUUGGCUGUCACCUAUGGUUUUGUGGCCAGUUGUUGUGUGUGUGUCCCACCUUGGUAUUGUCCAAUCACCUUUGACCCUACAGUCAUCCCAAGUCAUGACCUCUUCUCCAAAGGUCAGAGCAGGGUAAGUGAGGUCACUGACACUGCUGACCCUAGGGCUUGAGGAGAUGCGUCCAGGACCCGAAGGUCGGCUGGAGAGCACAGAAGUCACAGAGAAGGAACGCCCAGCCUCAAGACCGUAUUUGAGAUCAGCACAGGAGGAGAAGGAUGCCAGACGUCCCUCACUGCCACGCUGAUCACCGGAACCGAACUCCCUGUCCCCUGGCUCACAGAGAGAGGUGGUCUUCUUCCUCUGAGGAAUCCUGGGAAUGUGGAACACGUUAUCGUUCUCAGAGUCCUUCUGGCUGAAGUGGAAGACAGAGAAAGUGUUUCUGGUGCUGCCUGAGGAGGUUCUGUAGGCAGGGAGGGUUGCAGAGCGGCUGGGGUCCCAGGGUUGACGCAUAACAGAGUUGAAGUCUCUCUGAGGAGGUUGCUUUCUGGCUCUACUGAUCCUCUCCUCUUUGUAAGCUUCAAACUGCCGCCUUGUUGGGCUGAUCUCGCUACUAGAAGGUUGGUGUUUGGGUUUAGUGAUCCUUUCGUCCUUGUAAGCCUCAAAUUGAGGAAGAUCCAUAACACAAGGCUGGUCUCUGUUUCUAGCCUCUUUAUGGUCUUUAAAACCCUCAAACUGUGAGUGUUCACGUCUAACAUUUUCCUUCAUCAAAUCUGACGUGUGCUCACUGCCAGCCCAGAAAGAGUUUGAAGGUUUGUGAACGCCAUCAUUCUCCCUCCAUUUUUCCUCCUCUUCUUGAUUGCUAGAACCACUACUCUCUGUGACAUCACUAAUGUCACUGGCUCCAUUGACAGGAGGAGGCUGGGGUGUUCUCUUCAUCCUCUCGUCAUCGAGACGUUUGACUCUGAAGGUCUGCCGGAGUCGACUCAGCACCAGGUCUAUUUUGUUACUUUCCUUUUGCUCCUUCUCUGACUCUUUCUUUGGUUUCUCAGACUGAGGCAUCGCUGGGUUUCUAGGGAUAUUGGUAGCAGGCGUACCAACAACAUUGUCUCUCUUACCUCUCAGUGAGAAUAAGCCUUUCUUUGGGCUCUGGGUUUGUAAUGGAGCCGCUGCACUCUUAGGGAAACUCUCGCUUUUACACACAACCUUCUCAAUGUCUAAUGCUCCACUGUCAUUGGAGCUUUGGGAUGAUUGACAGCUGGGACUUCCAAUCACCUGGCUGUGUUGUGAAGGUAGACGGCAGAGUUCAUUGGACUUUAUCCCUGUGACGACUCGUGUGUCUGGUUUGCGUCGAGGAAAGCAGGGCUGUGCAGGCCUAAUACUGUCCAAUAUGGCAGAGGAAUCAACUUUAGAAAUCCUGUACACAAGUGUCUCAACAUUUUCUUGACUGGUCUCUUUGGAGUUGUUGUUGACACGAUCAAUUUCCAAGGCAACAAUCUUUGAACUGUCCUGUGACCUAGCCCUGUGAUGGCCGUAGAAGGGGCAGUGUUGGGGUGAGGUAGGGGGUGAGAGAAGGGGUUGGUGUGAUGUUGUGUGUGUGACCUCACCCUGUGUUGGGCGUGAAGACUUGAGUGUGGAAUAGGGCGGGGAGCUAAAUCGUGGCUUGGAAAAGCUCCCAAAUUCUGGAAGGGAGAGAGGGGCAGCGGUCUUCCUCUGUGAUCCUAUUACGGUCGAGUCAAUUCCUGUGUGUUUGACUGUGACGUUUGAAGUGUGGUCGCUAACAUGCUCUGAGAGAGCUUGCCCUCCCUCCUUCACCAAUGUAUCAGAUAUUAUGGAUAAGUUAUGCAUCGAGGUUCCCCUCCAAACUUGUAGUUUGGUGGUCCUGAGGGUUGGGGGAGACAGAGGUGACGUAGCCCAGGUUGGGCUGCCCGAUCUCAGGGAGGAGAAGAUGGCGGGACCCCCUACACUACGGAGGGGUCUGGUUGGGGACAGAGGACUCUGAGGUGAAUGAGACUGUGACAGCCUUAGUUGUGACUCCUGCCACGCUCUAUGUGCUGUUACCCUCCCUUCCACUUGGGGCUGGUGUUUCUUAGGCGAGAGGUCUAGGCUGCCUAUGAACGUCCUUUCCACCAGAGGGGACGAGCUAGGUGGGGAGAGGGGCAGGGUGGAGGGGGCCUGGGUGGUGGGGAUACUCAGGGAUAUGGGGGUAUAGCUGUCUGGAGACAACGGUCGGGUGUAGCGGGUCGGGAUACUGGGGACGUAGCCGGUUUUAAGUAGGAGUGGUUGGGGAGUUGUGGUAGGCGUGUAAGCAGUUUUAGGGGACUGCAGUUGGGAUGUGGGGGUGUGGAUGUUACUCACUAUGGGAAUCUGGCUUCUGACGACUGGGGGUGGAGAUUUUGGGCUGUUUUGGGGGUCUUGUCUUAUAGAGCUGGCGGUAUUGAGUGAGCGGGAACUAUAGAGGGGUCUGUGUCUACUGAGUGAUGUGGAGGCGAUACUGGUUUGUAAGGAGAGCUGUCUGGAAGAGGGGUUCGGGGAAUGGGACAAAUAAAGGGUUCUAUGACUACUGAGGGAGGAUGGAGUGUCACUGGUUUCAGAGCUGGUUGGAGUCUUGGGGCUAAAUACGGUCAGAGGGGUGUAGAUGGUGUCAUAACUACAUGGCCUACUGUAGCGAUCAGGCUUGCUGGACUUUAUUGGGUUACUCAAAGUGCUCGAGCUAGCUGGGCUACUGGUGUUAGACCUGAAGGAGAUAUUGGACAAACAAUAGGGCUUUUGUGAUUGUCGGUCAUUCGAGUUAAGGGAAUUCUGAGUUUUGAGUAUUCUAUAGGAAUCCUGGUCUGGGAUAUCUUGAGCAUAAGUCCUUUUAAGGGUGCUCUGAGGUGUGUGUUUGCCAGUGACAGUAUUGCUGUUUAGGUUGGUAUUGUUGGGGGUGACUAAAUUAUUGUUGUUAUUGAUGGUGAUUUGGGGAUUGACACCAGUGUUAUCAUUGGUGCUAGAGGGAUCCGUGUUAUUAUUGCUGGAAGUGCUUGAGAGGCUGAAUGUGUUGUUGUUGUUGUUGAUAGUGGUGGUGGAAGUGGGACUGAGGGGGGAACUGGGAUUAGACACACUGUCCUUCAGAGUAAUGUGCUUUCUCCAGCUAGUAGAUCUCAGGGUGGUUCCUCUGGGAAGAGACUGGCUCCCAUGAAAAUCCAGGUGGUCAUAUUGGGACGGUGGAGAGGAAGGUAGAUGAGUAUCACUGAUGGGAACCGUGGUUCCAUCUGGUCUCUCUGAGGGGGAAAGUCUCUCUAGACCACUAAACAGAAGAGUCUGCUUCCUGGGGGAGGUUCGGUUGGGAUACGCCCUGGAAGUCUGGGGAAGUUUGGUAAAGGGUGUGCCCUCUGUGUCUUUGUAAUUGGGCGAGGUUGAAAAUAGUUGUGUCCUGUGUGUAUUUGCUUCUCUGUGAUUGGAAGUUGGUAAGGGGAGGUGCCUUGACCUCUCUAUUGUCCUGUAAGUGGGAUCAGCUGAAUAGGGGAGGAACUUGGACCUCUCUCUGGCUCCAUCAUUGGAUGAGGUUAAGGAAAGAUGUGCCCUAAUUGUCUCUGAUGCUUUGUAAUUGGUUGUGGUUGGAGAGAGGUGUGGACUUGAAGUCUCUCCAUCUCUGUCAUUGGUUAGAGAUGAGAUAUUUGUCUCUGAGUGGAUAGAGCUCGCAAUAGUGUUGAGCCUUCUCAGAGAGAAAAGAAGGCUACUGGUUGUUGGUUUGGAACUCAGCAAUGAUGUCUGGGCUCCUUGACGACUUGCCUGUAACAUUCCUUUGCGUACAUGCAGGUCGGGAGAGAGGGGAGAGCUGGGAGUAACAGGGGAAACAGCUCCCCCCCCUCCGCCUCUGUUGGCCAGCCUCCCCCAACUCACAUCCAGAGAGACAGGCUUAGAAACUGGGGCCUUUGUUGGGUUGUCCAGUUUGAGGCUGGGGGUGCUUCCCUCAUACCAGCCCCCCACUGUGCUUCUGCUGCUACCCAGUGUUGAAGCCCUCUCAUGGACUUGUGAUCCAAGGGUCAACCCCCUCUCCCCAACACGUUGGUUCUGGGUUUCCAGAAACUGUUGUUGUUGUCGUUGUCCUACAGAGUCUGUCUCGAGAGGGACUUGCGGCUUCAAAAGCACACCCCCCUCACUCACUUCCUGUCCGUUACCUUGGAUCUCCUGUCCAGACUCACUGGUUGCCAUGCCAAACACACCAAUGUCUGUACCGGCCAUGCCCCGCUUGUUCCUGCGUAUUCUCCCACUCCACUGUGGGGCGAGAACCGACACCAGCGUGGAGGACAACAUGGCUGUCUUGGAAUCCUCUUCCUCUUUAAAAGGAAGCAAUGUCACUUCCUCUUCGUCUGAAGGGCAAUUGGCUGGUACAAAAUAAUAUGAUGGUGAGACUUCUCUUUUCACCUGUCGAGAAAGUUCAAAGUUCAAAUCAGAUUAUAUUGUUAUCAACAAUUAGAUACAUAUCUGUUAAGCUUUAACCUCACAGCCAAAGGUUUUAUAUGAAAAAGAGAAUCUAUGAUUGAACGAUUU
ensembl:lncRNA